rnacentral:rRNA from 1 species
AUGAACGCUAGCUACAGGCUUAACACAUGCAAGUCGAGGGGCAGCAUUUUAGUUUGCUUGCAAACUGAAGAUGGCGACCGGCGCACGGGUGAGUAACACGUAUCCAACCUGCCGAUAACUCCGGAAUAGCCUUUCGAAAGAAAGAUUAAUACCGGAUAGUAUACGAAUAUCGCAUGAUAUUUUUAUUAAAGAAUUUCGGUUAUCGAUGGGGAUGCGUUCCAUUAGUUGGUUGGCGGGGUAACGGCCCACCAAGAAUACGAUGGAUAGGGGUUCUGAGAGGAAGGUCCCCCACAUUGGAACUGAGACACGGUCCAAACUCCUACGGGAGGCAGCAGUGAGGAAUAUUGGUCAAUGGGCGAGAGCCUGAACCAGCCAAGUAGCGUGAAGGAUGAAGGCUCUAUGGGUCGUAAACUUCUUUUAUAUGGGAAUAAAGUUUUCCACGUGUGGAAUUUUGUAUGUACCAUAUGAAUAAGGAUCGGCUAACUCCGUGCCAGCAGCCGCGGUAAUACGGAGGAUCCGAGCGUUAUCCGGAUUUAUUGGGUUUAAAGGGAGCGUAGGUGGAUUGUUAAGUCAGUUGUGAAAGUUUGCGGCUCAACCGUAAAAUUGCAGUUGAAACUGGGAGUCUUGAGUACAGUAGAGGUGGGCGGAAUUCGUGGUGUAGCGGUGAAAUGCUUAGAUAUCACGAAGAACUCCGAUUGCGAAGGCAGCUCACUAGACUGUCACUGACACUGAUGCUCGAAAGUGUGGGUAUCAAACAGGAUUAGAUACCCUGGUAGUCCACACAGUAAACGAUGAAUACUCGCUGUUUGCGAUAUACAGUAAGCGGCCAAGCGAAAGCAUUAAGUAUUCCACCUGGGGAGUACGCCGGCAACGGUGAAACUCAAAGGAAUUGACGGGGGCCCGCACAAGCGGAGGAACAUGUGGUUUAAUUCGAUGAUACGCGAGGAACCUUACCCGGGCUUAAAUUGCAACAGAAUAUAUUGGAAACAGUAUAGCCGUAAGGCUGUUGUGAAGGUGCUGCAUGGUUGUCGUCAGCUCGUGCCGUGAGGUGUCGGCUUAAGUGCCAUAACGAGCGCAACCCUUAUCUUUAGUUACUAACAGGUCAUGCUGAGGACUCUAGAGAGACUGCCGUCGUAAGAUGUGAGGAAGGUGGGGAUGACGUCAAAUCAGCACGGCCCUUACGUCCGGGGCUACACACGUGUUACAAUGGGGGGUACAGAAGGCGGCUACCUGGUGACAGGAUGCUAAUCCCAAAAACCUCUCUCAGUUCGGAUCGAAGUCUGCAACCCGACUUCGUGAAGCUGGAUUCGCUAGUAAUCGCGCAUCAGCCAUGGCGCGGUGAAUACGUUCCCGGGCCUUGUACACACCGCCCGUCAAGCCAUGAAAGCCGGGGGUACCUGAAGUACGUAACCGCAAGGAGCGUCCUAGGGUAAAACUGGUAAUUGGGGCU